AUAGUGGUGAGUGCCACUAUACUUGUGUGUGUGUGUGUGUGUAUAUGUAUGUAUGUGUGUGUGUGUGUGUAUGUGUAUAUAUAUAUAUAUAUAUAUAUAUAUCACACACACAAGUAUAGUGGCACUCACCCUUUC